rnacentral:rRNA from 1 species
AGAACGAACGCUGGCGGCGUGCUUAACACAUGCAAGUCGAACGCGAAAGGGACUUCGGUCCUGAGUAAAGUGGCGCACGGGUGAGUAGCGCGUAGAUAACCUGUCUUCAUGUCUGGAAUAAUACGCCGAAAGGGGUACUAAUACCGGAUAUUCUUGCUUUUUCAUAAGUUAUGCAAGCAAAGGUGGCCUCUGCAUAUGCUACUGCAUGAAGAGGGGUCUGCGUACCAUUAGCUAGUAGGUGGGGUAAUGGCCUACCUAGGCGACGAUGGUUAGCGGGUCUGAGAGGAUGAUCCGCCACACUGGCACUGGAACACGGGCCAGACUCCUACGGGAGGCAGCAGUGAGGAAUAUUGCGCAAUGGGGGAAACCCUGACGCAGCGACGCCGCGUGAGUGAGGAAGGCCUUCGGGUCGUAAAGCUCUGUCAAGAGGAAAGAAGUGUACAAUGGCUAAUACCUGUUGUAUUUGACGGUACCUCUAAAGGAAGCACCGGCUAACUCCGUGCCAGCAGCUGC